GACGAACGCUGGCGGCGUGCUUAACACAUGCAAGUCGAACGGAAAGGCCCUGCUUUUGUGGGGUGCUCGAGUGGCGAACGGGUGAGUAACACGUGAGUAACCUGCCCUUGACUUUGGGAUAACUUCAGGAAACUGGGGCUAAUACCGGAUAGGAGCUCCUGCUGCAUGGUGGGGGCUGGAAAGUUUCGGCGGUUGGGGAUGGACUCGCGGCUUAUCAGCUUGUUGGUGGGGUAGUGGCUUACCAAGGCUUUGACGGGUAGCCGGCCUGAGAGGGUGACCGGCCGCAUUGGGACUGAGAUACGGCCCAGACUCCUACGGGAGGCAGCAGUGGGGAAUAUUGCACAAUGGGCGGAGGCCUGAUGCAGCAACGCCGCGUGCGGGAUGACGGCCUUCGGGUUGUAAACCGCUUUCGCCUGUGACGAAGAGUGAGUGACGGUAAUGGGUAAAGAAGCACCGGCUAACUACGUG
rnacentral:rRNA from 1 species